GUUGAUGUAAUGAACCGCCAAUAUAACAAAUUAACUUGCUCCACACAUCAAUUAACAAAUAAUACAACUGUGAUUUGAUACGAUAAUUAAGAAAAUGGGUAUUAGAAUACAGAAUGUCGAAGAUGUAUAGAUACUUCUUGAAUUGCAAGAUUGAAAUAUAGAAUAAUUUUUCAUCUCCUGCUAACUAUAAAAGUAGGAAAAGUAACCAAAACUUUUGAAUACAUAAAAAAUUUACCUUUAAUACAAAGAUUCAAUUCUUCAACAAUAACAAUAUGUCAUGAAUUCUAGAAGUGUGUAAUGGCUUGAAAUGAGAUUGAUCUAGUGCAAAAAUUUUAGAAUUUAAGUGUGAUGUUAGAAUGAUUUUGUCGGUUUAGAAAAUGAUGCAAGCAGUUCAUGGUUGAAGAGUAAAAUUGGAAAAUAAAAAUGAGUUAGUUAUCAAUUCCUUGAAUCAACCACCCAUGUAUGAGAGGAUAAAGUUGGAAAUAAAUAAAAUCCACACCAAAAAGAAAGGGUAAAGUUGGAAAUAAUAAAAAUUCACACCAAAUUGAGACAUCCCCUUUAUAUUAUGUAUAGA
rnacentral:lncRNA from 1 species